GAAUAAGAAGCGAAAAAUUGCAGCCAGUUUCGACCUGGAAGUAUGGUAUACUUAUACCCUUAUUCU
rnacentral:tRNA from 1 species